rnacentral:rRNA from 1 species
GACGAACGCUGGCGGCGUGCCUAAUACAUGCAAGUAGAACGCACAGUUUAUACCGUAGCUUGCUACACCAUAAACUGUGAGUUGCGAACGGGUGAGUAACGCGUAGGUAACCUGCCUGGUAGCGGGGGAUAACUAUUGGAAACGAUAGCUAAUACCGCAUAAUAUUAAUUAUUGCAUGAUAAUUGAUUGAAAGAUGCAAUUGCAUCACUACCAGAUGGACCUGCGUUGUAUUAGCUAGUAGGUGAGGUAACGGCUCACCUAGGCGACGAUACAUAGCCGACCUGAGAGGGUGAUCGGCCACACUGGGACUGAGACACGGCCCAGACUCCUACGGGAGGCAGCAGUAGGGAAUCUUCGGCAAUGGACGAAAGUCUGACCGAGCAACGCCGCGUGAGUGAAGAAGGUUUUCGGAUCGUAAAGCUCUGUUGUAAGAGAAGAACGGGUGUGAGAGUGGAAAGUUCACACUGUGACGGUAUCUUACCAGAAAGAGACGGCUAACUAUGUG